rnacentral:rRNA from 1 species
UACGUAGGGUGCGAGCGUUAAUCGGAAUUACUGGGCGUAAAGCAUGCGCAGGCGGUGAUGUAAGACCGAUGUGAAAUCCCCGGGCUUAACCUGGGAACUGCAUUGGUGACUGGCAGGCUUUGAGUGUGGCAGAGGGAGGUAGAAUUCCACGUGUAGCAGUGAAAUGCGUAGAGAUGUGGAGGAAUACCGAUGGCGAAGGCAGCCUCCUGGGCCAACACUGACGCUCAUGCACGAAAGCGUGGGGAGCAAACAGG